GUGUUUUUUUUGUGUGUGGGAGUCAUUGGGAUUUAAAUAAUAAUCGUGUCAUGUGGCUUUGGUGGUAAGACUGUCCAUAGUGGUGCAGAAAUAAUGCAGCCUUAGUCACCUUACCUCUCUCCAUGUAGUACAUUGGGUCCCACCAGUCAGAGGGUGAAACAAACAAAUUAAUAAGAAAAAUUAAAAGCGCCAGCGGUGUAUCUUACCUCACACAUCUCGCUACUGCUCGAGAACACUGUCCAAUUGAUCCCUCUGUUCACUCACGUACUAUUUUAAGUGAAUCCUUAUUAUAACAUGCACACAGUUUUGGGCACUUGUAUUCGACCUAAGUCAGUGUGCCACCGUAUCUCGUACGACUCCCUCCAUCUAGGUGUAAUAAGUCACGUUAGAAGGUGCAGCGGGAGCAAGGUGCAAGCAGAUUGGAGGAGAAGGAGAAACUUGACCGGUCAUUCCUCCAAUCAAAGCCCUGAUUUCUGUCUCUAAACGCAACAAUUAAUCCAAACAACUAAGAGAUGCCGUUUUAGCUACCAUGCAGGGCCACGUAUUAACUCGCAUGCAAGCCGACUUUGAUUUCUUGACUGAUCAACGCGUAGUUGCGCUCCAUGCAUUGGGUUUCCGGGGGAGAUAACAAGGCAGAGUAAGGAGUGUUUGGUUACAUUGCUUAGGCUGGUCAUAGUGGUGAGUAACUUGGACUAGUAACAUGCAUAUGUUACUAGUCUAUGUUACUACUACGCGAAGUUUGCCAUCGGAAGCGAGCCGAUCUGGCUCUCCUGAGCUAGCAAGGUUUUUCUAGCCCACCCAAGCUACCUGGCCCACAAAACCUAACAUAUUUUAACAGUUCCUAACGCCUAACCUUGCCCGGCUAUGCUAUAAGCUGUUCUUGCUAAGGAUCCAAAUGCUCCCUAAGUAACAACGCUCGCUAGCAACGAGGCCAGGAGGGGAUUGAGAUGCGAAGUUAAUGGACGACGCCUAAACAUUUUGGGAAUAUCUGAUUUCCGUAAGAUGACUUAACACCUAGACGGAGGGAGUACCGCUCCUCAGUCCAGGUUUGAUGGAAUAUUCGUCACCUCUUCUCUUGUACGUACUCCAUUUGUAUCUCACUUCCUGUGGCUUCGCACUCACACGAUUUUCCUAUUCUAUGAACCUGUGUGUGUGUGUGUUUAAUAGCAUGUGUGUGUGUUAGAGAGAGCGACAUAUCGACCUACUCCUACAGAGAGAUGGUGUGUAGUGUAUGAUUUUAGCCGCGAGAGUCGGUGCAUCCUCUCGUUUCCGGGCGUCCGGUAGGGACAGGCGGACAGCUGCCACGCCCGCUCCUGACCAGCCUGGCCCACCGAAAGCCCCUCCAUCGCCUGCGCGCGCUUCCCGCCCGAAACGGUCAGCGCCGCUCCAAAGAAUCGGUGUCGCAUUCAUGCCCGGGCAGAGCGGACGCGACCUCUCACUGGCUCCUACGUUGAAGGGAGAAGCGGAUUCAAGAGUGAUGGUUGCUUCGUCCGUCCAACUUACUGCUGGGUCUAUGUGAUUUGACGGCUCAUUGGUCAUUAUUACUGAGGUGGUAGGACUGCUGGAUGUCCCACGCUUUCGGCGAAAGGAGGUACUACUAGAUUACAAUUUUCUCCAUUCUUACGGCGGAGGAGUGCAGGAGCAGUGAAAACAUGCAGGCUCAGUGAUUACAUGCCCCACCUCACACUAUCACCAUAUUUUUUGGACACCGUGCGACACCUAACUCUUUACAUAGUACUCCCCCCGUUCCUAAAUAUAAGUCUUUGUAGAGAUUCCACUAGGUGGACUACAUACGGAACAAAAUGAAUGAAUCUACACUUAAAUGCAUCUAUAUACAUCCGUAUGUGGUUCAUGGUGAAAUCUCUACAAAGACUUAUAUUUAGGAACGGAGGAAGUACUAGUAUAGUACGUACUGUAAUUUAUCAGCGAGAUAGUACAAUGCUAUGAAGCUUCUAGCUUCUGUUACAUGUAUCUUGCGUCCAAGGUUGCCCGUUGCAACAUUUCAUCAAAUACAAAGGAGACUAACGUGCAUGCUAUUGCAUCUCAAUGAUUGACAGAUCAUAGCAAAUAUGUACUCACUCCGUUUCAAAAUAAGUGUCUCAACUUUAUGCAGGGGGUGUUUGUUUCCAGGGACUUUUUAGUGUAGGGACUGGAAAAAGUCCCUCUUAGAGACUUAUUAACCAAACAGGAGGGACUACUAGGGACUAAAACUUGCUUUUUGGGACUUAAUGAAGAAGACUCUCAAGGAGAGUCUUUUUUGGGACUUUUCCAACAAUGCCCCUCCCUACAGCCAUUGCCCCGCCGCCCCAUGGUGUUGUUUGGUUGUUAUUUUUCUGUAUACUGGGGGUAACAUGGUCAUUCAAUAACCUCUAGGGAGGGACUAGGGACUUUUUAGUCCCUGAAAACAAACAAGGAGGGACUUUUUAAGGAAUAGGGACUUUUUAGUUGGGACUAGAAAAAGUCCUAGGACUUAUGAACCAAACAGGGCCUCAAUAUGGACUACAUACGGAGCAAAAUGAGUGAAUCUACACUCUAAAAUACGUCUAUAUACAUCACUGUUUGGAGUAUGUACUAGUAGUUCAUAUCGAAAUUUACUAAAGGACAUAUAUAUUCCAAACAAUAUGAUAAUAUCUCUAACCAAGGUAGUAGGGACGAGGAGUAAACGAAGGGAGCAGUACAAUUUUCUCCUCGUCCUGCGAGCCACCGCGUGCGUGGGCGAGCGAGCGGGCGUAAGGCGUAUAGUACUACUACUACUAAGCAAGCUUCACCUCAUCCUGCGAGCCACCGCGCCCGUGGGCGGGGGAGACGGCGUAGUAAGCAAGCUUCUCCUCGUUCUGCGAGUUGACGGGACACAUCAAAACUACUCCAGUGUAUAGAGCCUUGCCUCUAAGGUAGGCCCCACAUGGUUUGCCUCUUUUUUAACAUAACGCGUCAAGUCGCAAUUUGUUUGUUCACCCGUGGUAGACGAUCCUCCCUCCAUCAAGUGGACAACCAGUACACGUGUCAAAUUACCACGUGUGCUGCCUUUUCGUAUAGAAAUGAGCUCCACCGUGUACCCGCGCGGGUGUGGUUGGGAAAGAGACGGGAGUACGUGCACCGUGCGUGCACCUUUUCUCUUCGUGCACGUCCCCCACCUACAAAUGUGUGUGUGCGAGAGAUACAAACCUAGACAAAUGGCUUGUGCGUUCGUGAGUGUUUUUUGUUUGGGGGAGGAGGUUGAUUUCAUGAAUGUAUUUGUGGGAAAAUGUGUCGAUGACAUCUCAAACAAAAUUUUGCAUGCAAUGUGUGUGAAAUGGAGGCCUAUCCAUAUCAUAUAUAGAGGGCCAGGCGAUCCACGAGAAGAGAGGGAGGGGUCAUAGAUAUCGAUAGAGUCGACGAGAGGAUCAAGUGGGUGGGUGCGAGAUCGAUGAAGAGAGCCAUCGAAAUUGUGUGUGUGUGCAAGUCAAAGAUAUAGGGCGACUGACCUACCGGAAUGUCAGAGGGCACAUGUCAAGUUUGUGUGUGGCAGGGAGACAUGACUAGAGAGCUCGAUGAAUCGGUGUGUGUGUGUGGGAGGGGGGUGGGGGGAGGGGUAGGCAGAGGCCUAACUAUAGAGGUAGAACGACUCGUAUAUGUGUUGAGAAGGAGAGACGCAGCUAUGUCUUGAGGGAGAUCGGUCUACAUCCAUACAUAACUGAAGGACGGGAAAUAGCAUGGGAUAGAGAGAGAGAGAGAGAGAGAGAGAGGAGAGAGAGAGAGAGGGAGGGAGAGGGGUAGAGUGCUGGAUGGGUGAUGGAGUUGCUUCUCGAAGAUGGUGGGAGAGGCCUACUAGACAAACUGAGGGUGGAACUGCAAUAUUAUCAAUAAGAGUGGGGAUGUGUUUCUGUGUGUGCCUGUGCGUGAUAGAUCUGUCGGGAUGCAUCCAUGGAUGAUGAAGGGGAACCAUGUGUUUGGUAAGCAAACCUAACUAGAUCGGUAGAUCAAUUGUUGUUUGUCGGAGGAAGGGAGAGACAUAACUAAUGAGGUAGAUCGAUCGACGCAUGGGAAAAAACAAGCUAUAAGGACCUAGCUAGCUAUAUGUAUAGCGGGAGAUCGGUUGGUGUACGUCCAUUUGUUAGAGGCAAAUAAGGCCCAGCGAGAUGGAUAAACAGAGAGAAUGGAGCUAGGAGGUGGUGCGAGAGGCCCAGCUACUAGCUAGAUAGGGGGAGGAGUGUGCGGUUGUGAGAUCGAUGAAAAGAGGGUCGAGAGUUUACACAUGUGUGGGACCAUAUGAGAGACAUGAGGCAAGGACACAUAAAGGAGGAGAUUGAAGGUGCGUGUGUAUGUUGUAGGCAGACAUCGCUGGAGAGGUUUAUCGAUCGGUGUGUGUCGGAAAGGAGUUGUGGAGACUGUGGGAGAACGACCUAAAUAAAAAGGAUGAAUGUGCAUGAUGGAUAGAAUGCUGAGGGAGGGUGAGGGCGAGGAGGGCGUGUGCAUGCACGAGAGAAAGUUAGUGGUAGCUACAAAGGUUAGAGGAUUGUGUGGGUGUAAGAGACUAACAAAGAUCAUAAUUUGAUAUGAAAGUGGAUUCAUAUAUUUGAAUAGGAGAUCAUAGUGUUUUAAACAUAUGCAUGCAUGAAUAUAGCGGUGAUACGCGUGUUGUGGUUUUGCACAUGUUAUACCAUAAUGUGAUAAUGCAUGGCGUUUGCAACUCACAGCUAAAUGUCGAACAAUCUAAACCAUACUAUACAUCGAACAAUCUCACAUUUUAUUUGAAUUUGUGAUAAUGUGUGGCAUUUGCAGCUUACCACUAAAUAUCGAACAAUCUAAACAAUACUAUAUAUCGAACAUUCUCACAUUUUAUUUGAAUUUGUGGUAAUGUGUGGUGUUUGCAACUCACAUCUAAAUACUUGUAGGCGUAGGGGGCGGGGCACCAUACAUAAUGUGAUAAACACAUUAUACAUAUGAGACAUGGUUUGGAUUAUGAAGAUCUAGCUAGAGCUUGAAAUGUACUGUGAUUUGAAAUCAACAUAAAGUGGAUUCAAAAAAUCGAGUUUGAGUUCAUAUAGUACACAUAGUUCAUAUGUAACUCGAGACUAAUCAUGUGGUGUGCUGUGAAGAUAAUACACAAAUGAUGGUUUAACUUGACAAUAAUGAUGAUUGUAGAUCUUAUUAAAACAGAGAAACGAAUUCAAAUGCUUUGACUUCACAACAAGCAUUAUUGUAGAUCUUAUUCAAAUAGAGAAACGAAUUCAAAUUUAGUUCAUAUUGAAGCGGUAGUAUAUACGUUUGGAAUGCACUAAAACGUUCAUUUGAGUAGUAGGUUGCAUGCAUUAUACACGUAGCAAAAUAUUUUAAUUGAACAUAACAUUAAUUCAAUGUUUUAAAUGACAUUUGUAGUGCGAAUUGAUUUGGUACAGUACACGUUAGGCUUGUCCGGAAAUUUCAACCCGCGCCUUGUUAGCCCGAAAUAUUUAAGAUAUAUCUUUGUCUCGUUGUGCUCCGACAACACCCUCCAUCUCAACCCGCGCCUUGCUAUUCCAAAAUUACAACGCGCGCGAAAACUCCCACCUCCUAUGAAAUCCCGACACGUGAAAUGCCCGUGAUACCCCUGAACCAAAAGAACCGCCGCAAAUCGGUGGGGGUACUUUCGUAACUUACCCCACAUUUCGGACAAGCGCGUCCCUAAGCCAUCGUUCCCCACUCCCAUCCCAUCCGCCCACCCAUUCAUACACCGAGGCCGGGAAAACCCGCGAGGCCCCACACCCCCACCCAGCUGGAGCCCCUUCCCCGACGAUGUCGUCCACAACAACACCUCGACGUCCCUCAUCUACCAUACCGGAUGAGGAUCCGUCGUCGAUCUGGUCGUCCCGCCGGUUCAGCCACCCCGUCCUCCACCUCCAAGGAGCUGCCCCGACGUUCCCCUCGUAUUCCGCGCCACCUCCAUUCCCACACAGCCAUCUUCACCCGCACCACCGGAAGAACAUCAUCAUCAUCGUUUCCUCGGAUGAAGCUGCGGCCUAAUCGGCGCCACCAAAGAGGUUGUACACUAAUCGCCGCAUUUUCAUCUUGAUUCGAUCUCACGGUGCUGCCGGCGCUUGGUCCCAAGCCGACACGGCACUCCUCCAUCCACGGCGGCGUCGCCGGCCACUUCCUCCACGGCAUCGCUCCCUCGGCGGCGACGUCCACAUCAGUAGGAGCUGCUGCUGCUUUACCUCUCGCUCGCGCUGCUGCUCUGCUCUUGCUCUCGGUCCCCUGCCUUGCCUGCUCUUGCUCUUGCUGCUGCUCUCGCUCUUGCUCUUGCUUGCGAUGCUGCUCUGAUUUAGCUACACUUCAGUCGACUGAAUCGACUUUUGGGUCAGUCGAUUUUCAGGGGGUGGGGGGGCUCGCCGGAGUUAAGGAAGAACCAGCCGCAGCGGGGAGGGGGGCUCGCCGGAGAGGUACCCCACUAUCUAUCAUAGGGUUCAGGGUNNNNNNNNNNNNNNNNNNNNNNNNNNNNNNNNNNNNNNNNNNNNNNNNNNNNNNNNNNNNNNNNNNNNNNNNNNNNNNNNNNNNNNNNNNNNNNNNNNNNNNNNNNNNNNNNNNNNNNNNNNNNNNNNNNNNNNNNNNNNNNNNNNNNNNNNNNNNNNNNNNNNNNNNNNNNNNNNNNNNNNNNNNNNNNNNNNNNNNNNNNNNNNNNNNNNNNNNNNNNNNNNNNNNNNNNNNNNNNNNNNNNNNNNNNNNNNNNNNNNNNNNNNNNNNNNNNNNNNNNNNNNNNNNNNNNNNNNNNNNNNNNNNNNNNNNNNNNNNNNNNNNNGGGCUAGAGGGAUGGCUGGGGCGGCGUCGGACCGGCGAUAGGGAGUGUUUUCGGGGCGGGCGGGGCGGCACACCACCGACCGUGGGCGGCGGGGGGCGGCUUUUUGGCCGGUGGUGGCUGGCGUCUCAGGGGGGUGGAGGUUGAAGAUGAACUGCAGGCCCUUGAUUUUGUAUCCAACGGCUGCAAAAUCGACUGACCAGAGAUGAAAAAGUCAGUCGACUGACGUGUAGCCUCACCUCUAGUGCGUUCAGUUUCGACAGUAAAAUUCAGUUUCGACUGCAAAAUUCAGUUUCGACAGUUAAGUUCAAUUUUGACAGUUAAAUUCAGUUUCGAUAGUUAAGUUCAGAGAUGAGCGGCUGAUGUAUUUUACAUCUAGCACUUUGUGGUUAUGUAUUUUACGUCAUCUAUUGGAGAUGCUAUUAGAAUUCCACUCAGGUUAACGUUGUCUCUCUUGUCCUGCUUCAGCCUCGGCGUCGUACAACUCACCGGAGCUGCUCCAACGACGAAACGCUCCAUCACAGCGGAGCAGUACCUCGGGCUCAAUCUCCAGACGCCUAAGAUCUUCUUCCCCUCCUCCGACAGCCAAGUCAGCCGGAGCAUCCUCACCGGCCAACCCAAUCACGCUGAGAUCGACAUGGCUUCGCCAAAGAGGUUGUACACUUGUUGCAUCUCUUUUUUACUCUACAUGUUAUAUAUAUUGUCCACUGAGCACACGGAGUAACGGGAAAUACGAUUAUUUUAUCCUACUAUAUGACAAGCAGUGAGGUACCAGGCAACUUAGCUAUCCGUGAUGGACUCUCUUGAAUGCCAUCAUUAUUUAUCUCUGCGUGUUUGAGCUGUGCAUUUGUCAAUGGCCCUGGGAGCUGAGCUAGUAGGGAAGUGGCCUGGGUCCAAAGUAAUAGAAGUAGCACAAAAACAUUUUUUUAGUGUAGGCUUUUCCUUGUUCAAGCCUGCCUACUAGAAUCGCCAGUGCUUGAAAGGAAAAGUGAAUGAAAACAUAGGAAUUGGAAAGUUUCGUAUGGUACUACUUUUCAUGAAUUUGGUGCAAAGGAAUAGAGCAAAGGAAAACUGUAGGAUUUGUUCCUUUAGUGUCUCCUUGAAAGAAAAACCGUAGGAAUUCUAAUUUCCACUUGUCCUCCUUCUCAAAUUCCUAUUCAUGAAGCACAAGACUAAGAGAUAGUAGCAUAAUAGCAUUAUAACCCUACAUUUUCUUGUGGUUUGACUUAAUCUCACCAUGCUUCUUUGCAUCCUGUGAUCGUCCAAUUCUUGUGAACCAAACACCCAGAUUGGCAGAAAUCCUGUGUUUCUAAAUUCUCUGCUUUGCACGUGCAUUCCUAUCCUAUUCCUAUCUAUUUCCUAUCCCUUCAUUGUUAGAAUCCUCAAAUUCAAACAAGCCCUUACACAAUUACUUCUGUUACAGAUAUGUUUCAAAGAAAACCUUGUGUGGUUUGUCCUGCUCCUGCGGUUUUGUGUUCCACCCCAGCUCAGCUGCUCCAACGACGGAAGGGUUCACCACAGCAGGGAUCCGCUCUCCAGACUAUCUUUCGCCGCGUCAGAUCUUCUUCCCCGCCGCCGGCAGCCAUGACAACUGCAUUACCAUCAUCAACUGAGCAGAUGACCUUGAGGACUACACGGGUCUGCAAGAGAGGUCGCACUCUUCCGUGUCUGCUUACGUUAUGCAUCGGUUAAUAUGAUGACAUGCUACUUUAUCAUCGUGUUCACCUAUUAGACUCCGAGUCAGGUCCAAAAUUAUGUUGAAACUUGAGUUUUUAAAUGGUUGUGGGGUACAUAUUGGGGCAGCAAUCAGUACUAUCUGUCUACUAUCUGGUUAAUCUCGGGUGUCUACUAUGAGUUUCAUGUUGGGUGCAAACAAACAUUAAAGGAGCCAUUAUCUGUAUUUUUUAACUAAAGCUAUUAUCUGCCUGCUAUCAUUGGUUUUGGGUCUAUCCACAGUUUGCUACCAUCACUCUAGAUUAGUGCAUGCACUCCUUACAUAAUCUCACUAUAUUUUAUUCCUAUGCAUGUUAGUCAUUGUACACAAUGUAACUGAACAUGUAGAGCAAAAGAGACGAGCCUUGCGUGGCAAUAAAAUUUCAUGCAGACGUCGCUCCAUGGUGGGCGCAAAGGCAUCCCCCCUUCCACCCAUUUUGGAUCGUAAUCAAGAGCAAGAUAACUGUUCUGAGGGGGAUUCAGAAGCAGAAGACCACUCCUAUUUACCCCAUGAGGUCUUCGCUCUAACUUGGCAUGCUGAUGUUGGUAAUAUCAUGCAUAUGGUGCCUUGCAUUGCUUACUGUAUACAUCAAAGAUGUCAUCUGCUUAGUUUAGACAUGCUUUGUGUCAAUGCCAUCUGUUUAGUUUCUUUAUCGUAUAUGUGAAUCAUGCAAUGCCAUCUUGUUUAGCCAGGCAUCAUAUAUGUGAAUUUUGCAAUGCCACCCUGGUUAGCCAGUCAUCUUAUAUGUGAAUUAUAUCAUGACAUCAUUUUUUAUUACGUGUUAAAUUUGUCAACAAUUUUAGUACAUUCAAUUAAUCUUCCUAUGCAUCAGCCAUUCGGCACGGUCAUGGAAAAAUCUAGAGUGGAAACAAGGUCUUCAGAGCAGACAAUGCUAUCUGACGAAGCGCAUGUCUUGCUGGUUACAGAUAGCUCCUCAGAGGAGGAUUCAGAGACAGAUGACCNNNNNNNNNNNNNNNNNNNNNNNNNNNNNNNNNNNNNNNNNNNNNNNNNNNNNNNNNNNNNNNNNNNNNNNNNNNNNNNNNNNNNNNNNNNNNNNNNNNNNNNNNNNNNNNNNNNNNNNNNNNNNNNNNNNNNNNNNNNNNNNNNNNNNNNNNNNNNNNNNNNNNNNNNNNNNNNNNNNNNNNNNNNNNNNNNNNNNNNNNNNNNNNNNNNNNNNNNNNNNNNNNNNNNNNNNNNNNNNNNNNNNNNNNNNNNNNNNNNNNNNNNNNNNNNNNNNNNNNNNNNNNNNNNNNNNNNNNNNNCUAACUUGGCAGGGUUAUGUUGCUCAUAUCGUGCGUAUGGUAUCUUGCAUUGCUAUGUCAUUUGCUUAGUUUAGACAUGCUUUGUGUGAAUGCCACCUGUUUAGUGUCUAAUUACCAUAUAUGUGAAUUAUGCAAUGCCAUCUUGUUGCAAGACAUUAUAUAUGUGAAUUAUGCAAUGCUAUCUUGUUGCAAGGCAUUAUAUAUGUGAAUUAUGCAAUGCCAUGCUGUUUAGCCAAGCGUCAUAUAUGUGAAUUAUAUCAUGCCGUCCUUUUUUUGUAUUUCUCAUUGCUUUUGUCGACAGUUUGUAUAUUCAACUGCUCUUCCUGUGCAUCAGCCAUUUGAAUUGGUGAUGGAGAAAUCUGGACUAAAAACAAGGUCUUCAGAGCAGACAGUGCUACCUGCUGAAGAUAUCUUGUAGGUUACAGAUAGCUCUUCAGAGGAGGAUUCAAAGGCAGAUGACCAGUCAUAUUAUCCCCCUGAGGUGUAUGCUCAAACUUGGCAGGGUUAUAUUACUCAUAUCAUGCAUAUGUUGUAUUGCAAUGCUUAGUUUUUACAUCAUAUACACGAUAUUGAAUGCCAUCUCCUUAGUUGACACAUCAUAUAUGCGAUUGCCCUCUGCUCACUUCCUUAGUAUAUAAAUCAUAUAUUUGAAUUAUAUCAUGCCAUGAUGUGUACAUAGACAGCAUGUAUCUGAAUUAUGGCAUGCCAACCCAUUUUCUAAAGACAUAAUAUAGUUAUAUCAUCUCAUCCUGUUUACAUAGUCAUCACAUUUUGAAUUAUGUCAUUCUAUCCGUGAAUUAUAUCAAGCCAUCAUGUUUCCAUCGAUGGCAUGUUUGUGAUUUAUGGCAUGCCAACCACUUUAAUAGACACAUCGUAUAAUUAUAUCAUAUCAUCCUGUUUACAUAGUCAUCAUAUUUUGAAGUAUGUCAUUCUAUCCUGUUUAGUUAGCCAUCAUAUAUGUGAAAUUGUGUCAUGCUAUCCUGUUUAAUUAGCCAUCAUAUAUGUGAAAUUAUGUCCUGCUAUUCUGUUUGGUUAGACCACAUAAAUGUGAAUUAUUUCAUGCCCUGUUUUCUUCCCUACUAUCCAUUGCACCUAUCUAUCUUACAAUGUCUGUACAUUCAAUUACUUUUCUUGUUUAUCAACCAUUUCAAUUGGAGGGGGUGAUGGCAGUAUCUGUGGGAGUAAAAACACGGUCUUCAGAAAAGAUCUUGCUACCUGUCGAUGGAGAUAGAACCACGGUUGUACUUGCCCAAGAACCAGCCCCACCACACAUAACCCAGACUCACGUAGAUUGUACCCCUACCCAGUUGGACAGAGAACCAGCUACACCCCUUCUAACCCCAACCCCAGCAGAUAGUAACCCAGUUCCCGCUGACACAGCACCGUCUCCACCAGAGAGCACCCAAACACGAGCUAUUAGUAAGGCAACUGCAGUGCCCAAAGCACGAGGACCACCACUCUGAACCCCAAGUCAACGCUUGAAGCAGAAGAAGAAUUGUUCUCAGGUCAGGUUCCGUAGCUAUGGUUCAUACUACUUUGCUCUUGCAUCACUGUAUUUACUCAUACCAACUAAUUUCAAAUUUGAAGGAUGCAAUUGAAACUCCAAUGGCGCAACAUGUAUGUUUUAAACCUGUUUCUUUAACGUGUUUGUUGUUUUAACUUGCUCUAUGUUGAUUUCAGUUUCAAUUGAAUAAACAAUUAUGUUCUCAAGCCAUGCACAUUACAAGUGUUGUUAUUGCUGUGUAGUUUCCCACACUUAUAUUCUGUCUAUGCUGCUUUGUCUUAAAUAGAUAUGAUUCGAACUGUAUCUAUCUUGAUUUGGCAACAUAAACUAGAAUGAUAUAGACCAUACAGUGACCAUACUACAUAGAUAUAUGUUUGUUUCAUGUUGUUAUCCUGUCCACCUUACUACUGAACUGGUUUACCAAAAUGAGUUUCAUAUACUACAUUGUAAACCUGUGAUGUGUUUGCUUGUUUCUCUUUUAGAAAGCGGAUACAAUAUUGGAGAAGAGUAGCCCGUUAUGCAAUGGUAAAGGAAGUAAUGCAGAUAAGGUUCAAGAUAGUGAGACAUCCCUAUUGGUCUCCAAGAAAGCUGAUAAAAACAAUAUUGAAGACACUGAGACAACCCCAAAGUCCUGUCUUGAUGUAGUGUUUGAGUUACUAGCUACUACUGCUGGCACCAGCUCUUCGAACUCGCUGCCUGAAUCAGUUCGGCUUCUUGAGUCUCAACUUCAAGUUGAAAGACAUCGAUCAGAUGUUAUUCGACAGGAAGCCGAAGGACUGAGGAAGUCCCUACAGAAUUCAGAUGCAUACUUUCUGGUGCAACAACAAGUGCUGGAGGAUUUAAGCACCAAACAAGAGAAAGUUAAUAAGCUUGCUAAGCAUCUUGCCAGCAUUAUGGGUACCCAGGAUAUUGUUUCUUGAGCUCUUCUGAAGUGGUUUCAGUUCUGGACCUGUUUUGCUGCGGCGUUUAUAUGCUGCUUUGUUCCCUAUAUUUGCACUGGUGGCGAACUUUGAUGCCCAAUGGGUGUAAUAUGUGUAAUAGCCGUGAUAGCCUAGCAUAAGUUGCUUGCUAAUUUAUUUCCUUAUUGUCUUAUUUAUUUGUUUUCUUGUAGUCAUUGCAGUUAUUUUUCCGCGGUUUGCUAGUGGCCGCAAUAACCUAUUUUUCAAAACUAGGCCACAAUAACCAUGGGCAACAUAUUUACUGUAGUUAACAUGGGCCUCCUACGGGCCGUAGAAACAAUGGGCCUUCUACGGGGUGUAGAAACAAUGGGCCUUAUACGGGCCGUAGACACAAUGGGCUUUCUACGGGCUGUAUCAUCAAUGGGCCUUCUACGGGCCGUAUGAUCGGUUGGCCAAACAUGGGCCAAUAAAAGACCACAUUAUGGCCGUAAAUGGGCUAGAGUUGAAAUCGUCCGUUCAUGGGCCGACCAUAACGGGCCGUCGUUAAUCGGCCGUAUUUGAUGACGCUAUGAAAACGACCCAACGUAUUAACGGACCACAAAUGGGCCAACUGUAAACACGGGGUUAAUUUGGCCCACAAGAAGAAAAUGACGGUAACGGGCCGUAAGUAAACGAAUGUUGGAAAUGAGCCCAAGAAUAAAUGGGCCGUGAGAAGGCCGAAAGAUAACAUGGGCUGGAAACGGCCCAACGGAAUAAUGGGCCGUUAAUGGGUAUAAAGUGAUACACUCUUCAUUACGGGCUAGUUUCACCACAUGCCUUUAAUGGGUAUAAAGUGAUACACUGUUCAUUACGGGCCAGUUUUACCACGGGCCGUUAACGGGCCGAGAGUUACAAAGGGCCUCAUAUGGGCCGAAAGACGUCAUGGGCCAUACAUGGGCCGGAAGUUAAAACGGGCUGGAAUUAUAUUGGACGGCCCAGAUGAUUCUACUGGGCCUAAUUCGGAUAGGCCGUAAACGGGCCCUGGGUUAGCGGGCUGUAAAUGGGCUAUAUGCGAACAUGCCGUUAACAAGCUUGUUGUGGGCCGGCCCGCCACCUUUUGACCAAGUCAAAUGGGCUGGCCUUUUCACAGGAAUGGGCCUCUGUUGGGCCGUGCCAUGUGUCGACGUAUCAUAGGCGCUUUGGGUCCAAUGAGUGGAUGACAUCUGUCCCAACGGUGAGCCGACACGUGUUUCCUCCAGCCAAUGAUGAUUUUACACGUGAAAAAUCCCCAUUGGUCGGGGCUGUUAACGGGUUAUCGGAUCCAAAACCGGACCCGAUAGCUUAACGGCGUUCCGUUACGGUGGAUGCCAUGUGUCGGUCACCCUUGAAAAAAGCACUUCUGUGACGCGCGAUUUAUCAUCAUGGAAGUGGACACUUCCGUGAUGAUAAAUUUGGUAAUGUCAUGGAACACUUCUACGACAACACAUGUAUGACUAUCUUUAUUCUGUCAUAAAAUCGGCAUGGAUGUACAUGCAUGACAGAAAACGUGACCUACUGUGACAAACACGUAUCAUCACGGAAGUGUAUUUUUUUGUAGCGGGAAGAGAUGUCUAAGCACUUAAAACCUUUGUGCAAAUUACUGUAGCCUAAGAAGGCGCAUUGUUUGGAGUGGAAUUGGAGCUUGUGGUUAUUAUAUGGGCGUAGGUUCGGCCAGCAAGCGCAUCCAAAGAUGCAAAGAGAAGAAUAAUUAGGCUUCCCAUGGGAUAGUUUUUCAAGAGGGGUUUCAAAGUUGAUCACUUUGCUUGGUAGUUUGUUGAUGAGACAUGUAGCAGCGAUAAAAGCCUCAUCCCAGAAUUUAAGAGGUAUGCUUGCUUGAGCUAGGAGGGAGAGACCAACCUCGACAAUAUGUCGAUGUUUACGUUCUGCUGACCCAUUUUGCUGGUGUGCAUGGAGGCAGGAGACGUGAUGAGAUAUCCCAACUUUUGUGAAGAAAGAAUUUAGCGUCACAUAUUCCCCUCCGCAAUCUAUUUGGAGAGCAAGAAUUUUGCGAGCAAAUUGACAUUCAACAAGAUUUUGGAAGUCACGAAAUUUUUGAAAAACUUCUGACUUAUGUUUGAUUAGGUAGAUCCACGUGAACUUACUGAAAUCAUCUAUAAAGCUCACAUACUAUUCUUUUCUGCCUACUGAUUCAACAGCUGGACCCCACACAUCAGAAAAAUAAGUUCCAAAGGGAAUUUUGAUCCACUUAUUGAAUUUGGAUAAGGCAACCGAUGGCUUUUGCCUAGUUGACAGGAAUCACAAAUAACUUCGGAAUUGGAUAACUUAGCACAUGGGAGCUUAUUCUUGAUAAUUAUUUUGUUAACUAUGGUUGAUGAAGGAUGCCCUAGGUGCCGGUGCCACCUAUCCGAGGAGGGUGUGGCAUUGAGCACGUGCUUCUUGGCGCCUUGUCCCAUGUGUUUGACAGGGUAUAGGCCUCUCCUACCCCUGCCUUGCAGCAAAACCCUCCUCGUUCCCCGAUCCUUUACAAAAAAAGAAUAGGGAUGAAUUUCAACGAAAGAAUUGUUGUCAAUAGCAAGUCGGCUUGCAGCGAUUAAACUCUUAUCAGCCUCGGGAACAUGUAAGACAUUUUACAGGAGAAGGUCACGUUCAGGGGUACAAAUAUGAGAUUGACCAAUAUGUGCUAUAGCCAUAACUGAUACACUUGCUGUGUGGAUUUGAUCAUCUCCGAUGUACCGAUCUCGGAUGGUGAGCUUCUCUAGAUCCUGUGAUAUGGUUCGUCGCACCACUGUCCAGGUACCAGUUGGUGUCGACGCCAUACUGCGGAGCCACCAUGUUUGCAGAGUGUUCCUCCCCCCUGAUAGGAGGAGUCGUAACGCUUCCAGCACUUCCACGCUGGGUGACCAACCUUGCCACAGAUCUGGCACGUUGGUUUGGUGGCGGCAUUGUUGUUGUAGUUGCCGCCGCUGCCGUUCUUGCCUCCAGGGUUGCCACGGUUCGGUGGCUUGGAGAAGGUGCCACGACCACGAUCACCGCCGCCACCUUGCAUGUUGUUGAAGUUGCGGCCGCAGUCACCGCGGUCACCACCGCCGCCACUGUUGCUGUUUUUGUUGUUGUUGAAGCGUCACGUGUCCCCGCGUUUGCCGACGACUGAGAGGACUUGCCAUGCAAAUUCAUGCGAGUCUCGAAGCUCAGGAGCUGCGAGUACAGCUCCGGGACCCCGACAGGCUCAACCCUAGAGCACAUGGCAGAUACCACGGGGUCGAACUCCUCGUCGAGUCCAGCGAGGAUGUGAGAGACAACAUCCUCCUCAUCCACCUUCUUCCCUGAAGUAGCUAAUUCAUCACAAAGGGUUCGGACCUUACCAACAUAUUCAGUGAUAGUCUUGUUUCCCUUCUGGAGGUUUGCCAACGCGAUUCUGACGUUGACGGUCUGCGCACGGGUAUGCGAUGCAAGCAUCCCGUGCACCGUGUUCCACAGCUCUUCUGCGGUGUGGCACGUCGCCACCUGGAUGGCCAUCUCGCGGGGCAGCAUGGUCAACAGGUAAGAGAACACCUGCUGAUCCCGUGCAUACCACGCGCCGAACGCCGGGUUGGGCGCCAUGGACUUGGUCUUGCCGUCGUCGCUGGUGACCUCAAUGGUCAUUGGGGGCACCACCUGCUCGACGUUGAGGAAGUUCGCCAUCUGCGCUCCCUGGAUGGCCGAGAUGACGGUGGUGCGCCAUAGCGCUUCCUUCCCUCUCGUAAGCUUCUCUGUUGUGAUGUGUGCAAACGGAGAUGAGGGGAAGGAGUUCCCCGAAGAGCUUGCCAUGGAUGAAUUCGAGGUAGGCUCUGAUACCAUGAAAGAAGAAAGGGUUUAAGCGUAUGCACCUUUGGCAGGGAUGCGUGCGUUUCAAUAUAGAGGAAAGAUAACAAGAUCGACAGGUUGUUUCUAGUCUUGACCUCUACUCCAAGCUAUACAAGAGAUAAGAUCAACUAGCCUAACAACCUGCCGGGUAUACACAACUAUACGCACGCAACACACCCAUCAUGACAAGUGUCACGUUACAUCAUCGUGACAAGUGUCAAGUUAUAUACAAGCCUACUCUUUAACAUUGUGCAAUCACACCGCCAUACGUCGUGAUGGUGUUUGAAAUGGUCUAGUACCGAUGGAGUAGUGAUUUCGCAUUGCGAUCAUGGAUCACAUCUAAAUUGUAGGGUGCGUAGUGCGUGUGCUCACGAAAUCAAGAUUGCACAUGUUGCCAAAAUAUCGUGCCCUUUUGCUUCAUACCUACAAACCCCGCACUUGUGGACCACCACGCGUCGCACAACAAUGCAUCCUCCCUCGCCGAGUACCCCAUCAUCGUGCUUGCUUCAUGUUCAACAAGAAGGCCAAUAAAAUUCUCAAUGCUAUUUUGACAAAACACUUGUCGGCAUGGUGUCCGCCAUGGACGCAACUGACUAGGGGCGGACAAUACCUAAGCGGUGGCUGGAUACGAGGGCGCAACGACGGCGAAACACAGGACUCCUGGUAGAGCACCGGCGUUCUGGCAAGAACUAGGCGGUGGUUACAGUGGUGCAGAGAUGGUGACGGUCUUGGUGGGGUGCAUAUACAGGGAAGCAACGAGGUGGGGAUAAGCUCUUAGGCCAACUCCACCGCGCGACCCCAUCCAGUCCGCGCGCGUCCGUUUGGGGUAAAACGGACGAACCAGAUGGCCCAGCGCGCGUGCGCAAACAGACUUUUGUCCGUUUUCUGUCCGCUUUCGACCCAUCCCCGGCACAAGUUUGUGCCACUUUUGGGGUGAAACGGACAACACGCGGACGCGUGGGCCGUCUGCGCGUGUCUUCCCCUGGCCCGCCCGUCGGUGGCACAGCGGUGCCUUUUUCUAUCCGCUCCCCUCCCUCCCUCCGGCCGCACGCCCUCCACUCUUCUACACUCUUCCCCACUCUUCCCUCGUCGUCGUCGCCGCCGCCAUUAGUUGUGCAACUCGGACGCGCACUCGCCCAGCCCCUUCCCCUCGGCACCCCCGAGCUACCCAACCACGGCCACCUGAUUUGCGCACCCGCCGGCCGGAUUUGGGGCGGAUCCGGUCGGUCUUGAGCUCACCCAGCUGUGGGAGGCCGCGCCGCGCCAUGGACUGGACAGGCACCGGGCCGGAAGGCCCUGGCAGGGCCGCAAGGCCACAUGCAGGCAGUGGCUCCUCCUCUAGCCGCUCGGAUCUAUACCGUCGGUGGUCCGCCGGCAGAUACACGAAUGGCGGUCGGCCGGGCUCGGUGCUAGCCCAAAAGCUCGUCGGCGCACCGUUGCCACUCAUUAAGUGCGACCACAGCCCAAAGAAGGUCGUGCGCCGCGUGUCUACAACGCCGGAACAUCCCGGAUGGGUGUUCAUCAAGUGCUUAAACGAUGGGGUAUGUGCUCUUUUUAGCUUCGGUUUGUGCUCUAGAUUUGACUAGUUGUGCUAACUUCAAAUUUUGUUGUGUAGAAUGGAUGCAAGUUUUGGUAUUGGGAAGAAGAGUACAUCGAUAUAUUGAUAGAGUGCAAUUUAGUAGAUGUUCGUGCACUUUUAGCUAGCAUAGAGGCUGUAGAUGAGACAAGUGCACUUGUUGCUAGAUUAGAGGCUAGACACGAGACUAGAUGCGAGGAAGCAACCUUUACUUCUUUAGACUCGAAGAAGAAAGAAACACGCAAGAUGGAGGCGGCUCCUCCGCAGAUCAACAAUGAAUGCAUCGAGAAGACACUAAUCCAACUUACAGGAGCAGUUAUGGAAGUUGGAUAUCUUCUAAAAUGUAUUCUUGUGGUUCUUGUUUUCUUUGGUCUUAAUUUUUUAGUCAAAAUUUGGUGAUGUAUUCCCAUGUACCAAAAAUGAAUGAUGAAAAAAAGUUUAAGGGCUUGCAAAGGAAAAAGUACGCGGGCAGGAUGCGGCCAGGAUGCGUCCGCCCGUUGGGCGCACGGCCACCGCAUCCAGAAACGGCCCGAACACGACCCCAUUGCCCUACCCAAAUGGACAGAAUCCAAGCAAAACGGACGUCCGUUUGGGGUCGCGCGGUGGAGUUGGCCUUAGGGAGGGGGUUUUGAAUGGGUCGGGACUCGGGUGUGUCGGAGAGUCAGACAUGAUUGGUGUCUAGACUUCCACUCCCCCAAACCUCCACAGCUUUGUUCCUGGCUUGACAAAAUUUAAACGUACUGACCGAUCUGCGAAGGGUUGAUACACGAAGUUAAACGACACGACAACACGUUUAGCAACGUUUUUUAUGGAUGACACUGGGUUGCCCUAAGGCCAACUCCACCGCGCGACCCUAUCUUGUCCGGGUGCGUCCGUUUGGGGUAAAACAGACGAAUAGCGUGGCCCAACGCGCGGCCUCAAACGGACAAAUGUCCGGAUUCCAUCCGUUUUUGACCCAUCCCCGGCCCAAACUUGCGCUCGGUUUGGGGUGAAACGGACGCGCGCGCGGACGGCCUCGACGCACGCCCUUGUCCCCCCCGUGGCCCGCCUGUCGGGGACACUAGCAGUCCCUCCGCUCCCAACGCUUCCACCCUCUCUCCCCGCCCCGCCCCGCCGCCGGCGCCGCCGCUAUUCUCCGGCCGCCUCCUCACCGCGCAGCCCCGACCGUCCAUACCAAACCACGUCUCGAUAUGGCCGCCACCACGCCCGUGCUUUCGCCGUAGUUUUGGCCGUCGAUCGGAGGAGGUUUGGCCGUCGCCGUCUUUGCCGGUGGCAGAGGGGACACGACCGCCGACGACGUACCACGGCAGCCGCGACAGAUUCCGACGAGAGCUCCAGAGCGGCCAUUAGCUGGCCGGCAACCACCCCUGCUGCGUCGAGGUGAUCAUCGCGGCCUCUUCGCCACCACGACCGCAAGGUGUUCGACAUUUUGCCAACAAAGGUAUGGAUAGUGGAGACGAGUUUUUCUUCCAUCGCUUCCUUUGUUCAUCGGACGAUUCGUCGUUGGAUAAUGACGAUCUUGUGGUGGCUGCACUUGUUGUUCACGACCAUAUUCAACGGCAGCUUCCUCGAUACAGGGGGUCAGUCCCUGUCCCAACCUGAACCGCAAUAGGGAGAGAGGCCACGCCCUGCUCUAUGCCGAUUACUUUUCCAACACCUGCUCUUUAAGCCGGAUAAAUUCCGUCGCCGUUUUCGAAUGGCAAGGCAUGAGUUCAAUCGUAUCCGAGAGGGAGUGGUUGCUCAUGACCCAUACUUCGAGUGCAAGAAGGAUGCCCUUGGCAAGCUUGGAUUCUCCUCUUACCAGAAAUGCACCGCGGCCAUCCGCAUGCUUGCAUAUGGAAUUCCAGGCGAUCUGGUGGAUGAGUAUGUGCGUAUGAGUGAGACAACAUGUCUGAUGUCAAUGUACAAGUUUUGCCAGGCUGUGAUCGAGGUGUUUGGCCCAGAGUACUUGAGGCAGCCAACUGCAGCUGAUACAGAGAGAUUAUUGGCGACCAACGCAGCUAGAGGCUUUCCAAGCAUGCUUGGCAGCAUAGAUUGUAUGCACUGGGAGUGGAAGAACUGUCCAUUUGCUUGGCAGGGCCAGUACAAGGGGCAUGUCAACGCGUGCACUAUCAUAUUAGAAGCGGUGGCUUCGCAGGAUCUUUGGAUAUGGCAUUCUUUCUUCGGCAUGGUAGGUUCUCACAAUGAUAUCAACGUGCUGCAACGUUCUCCAGUCUUCGCAAGGCUUGCAGAAGGCCACUCCCCACCUGUCAACUUUGAGAUCAACGGCCACCAGUACAACAAGGGAUACUAUCUAGCUGAUGGUAUAUAUCCUCAGUGGUCAACUUUUGUGAAGACAAUCUCGAAACCCCAAGGUGAGAAGAGAAAGAGAUUUGCCCAAAUGCAAGAGAAUGCUAGAAAGGAUGUGGAACGUCCUUUUGGUGUGCUUCAAUCCCGGUGCGGUAUCGUUCGAAACCCUGCACUGUCAUGGGAUGAAAGAAAGCUUUGGGAGGUGAUGACUGCUUGUGUGAUCAUGCACAACAUGAUCGUCGAGGACGAGCGUGAUGAGAGUAUCUUCGACCAAGGAUUUGAUUAUCGUGAAAAGAUUGAGCCCCUGCACCAAGACCCGGCCACAUUUGAACAAUUUGUACAAUUCCACCGUGAGAUGCGUGAUUGGCACAGGCAUUUGAAUCUUCAAAAUGACUUGGUUAAGCACGUGUGGGAUCACAUUGGCAACCAAUAUACGUAUUGGUUCAUUUUAUGUUCAGUCAAGACAAUUUUGAUUUGGUUGUAAAACUUUUUUAUUAAGGACAAUUUCAAUAGAGUUAUAAAACUAUUUUAAUUUUCAGACAAAUAUUUGGACGUGCAAACUAGUUUUGAUGAGAAUAUGGGCAUUUUUGGCCCUGACGAACAGGAUGGGGCAAAUGGAUGCGGCCGCGCGCUGGGCGCACGGACACCGCAUCCCAGGACAUGCCCGGACACGACCCCAAAUCCCUACCCAAACGGACAGAAUCCGGACAAAACGGACGUCCGUUUGGGGUCGCGCGGUGGAGUUGACCUAAACGGCUAUCUUUACUGCAUGUUGCAGUGGACGUGUAAGUGACGCGUCCUGGGCAAAGUGACGCGCCGUGGGCAAACCCACAGGUCGCGUAUAGUACGGGCUGCGUCCGUCCGUCCGUCGUGCCAAUCCACGCGCACCGCCGAGCACGCUGCUCCCCUCUUCUAGGCCGGCCGUAGCCGAUGCGACGCAUUUGCUGCCGCAUUUACAAUGCCUCUCGCCUCGCUCUAUUGCUGCUGCUGCAGCAGCAGCAUCUGCAUCUUUAACACGCGAAUUUAAGACGGCUCCUGUCUCAGACCAGCAGCCCAUGGUGAUGCCCCUAGCGUGUUGCAGCACCUAUCCUCGCUCGCCGCUCGCCGCUCGCCUUGCUGCCAACUCAUAAAUGGUGCCUAUCAGGUGCCGUACUCCCGGAACACCCGAUGGAGGGCACGCUAGCCGCGCCACGUGACGCCGCUUCAGAGCUCGGCCUGGCCUUGACCGGGCGCUGGCUCCACCAUGAAUAACCUUGGCCGGCCAGCGGUUGCCCCGACCGAGCACAUUUCCACUCCCAGCUCUCCCAAGCGCACAGUGGACAGGUGCCCGGACCGACGUGGCGCCGAUCUCGAGGUCCGAUUCGCAUCAAUGCCGGUCGAUCGUCGGGCGUACUAGGCACGCAUCGACCGCUGCCGCCUAGCAUGCUGCGUGCGUCCUGGACUACAAAUUAAAGACGGAUCUCCCUCGAAAGUACAUGCAACUAGAGGUUGCCGCUGCGCCGUUCUCCACUCAUGAUAUAUUAACUCUCUUUCUCCUUAGCACGUCAUUGCAGUUGAUUUUGUCAUUUUGAUUCUAUCUAUGUUGGCUUGGAUUUUAAUUAUGUUCUGACCAUAGUUUCUUUUCAUUCGUAUAUCGUGUUCAGCUAUUGUUUAAAAUUGUUUUGUUUGAGAGGAGAGUGGAGUUGAUUGAUGCGUGGUUGUUGUGUUCUUCACGUUUCGUCGUCAGUGCCAGCUGGUGGUGCUUGUGUGAUCCCCCUGAGAUUAUUCCAGAUUGAGACCAUGGAAUUUGCUGCUAUAAAUCUCAUAUGGGCCGGCCAAUGAAACUCUCGCUCACUCAGUUCGGCUCCUACUCUGCUCGCUUAGCUUUUUUUGCGCUCGCUAUACUGCUAGCUUCGACAAAGCCGGCUAUCGUAUUUUUAUUUGAUAUUUUUUUUAAACAAAUAUGUUUACUAUUUGUUUAGAAUGUAUUUUAGAAAUUUCACGCAUUAAAAAGACCAUAACUUUUUAGAAAAAUAAAAAAUGCAAAUUAAAAAAAACAUGUUGAUGAACUUUAGAAAUAUUCAAGAAUUAAAAAACUGUUGGUGGAUUUUAAAAGUGCAGACAAAUAGAAACGUUUGACAAGAUGCCGUCGUGUCAGUGUUAUUUUAGAAGUGAUUUGGUAUAGGGAGAUAGGUACGUAUGAGGUAGAUACCGGGAUCUCUCGUUCAACUCCUCAGGAAAGAUAAAACAGAUGCACGCAUAAUAUAAAGUGCUAUGUCUCUAGCUGCUUAGUUUAGUAUUUAUCCCGUCCAAAGUUUGACCGCUGCCUCCCACGACCUCUUACUGCAGACCAGCGGGGUGCAUGCAUGUGCCCACCUGAGCCCUGAAGCCGGAGAACAGGACAUGUGUAAACAAAGUUUGAGCUGAAGGCGGUAAAUACAUCCCUUUUAAUGAAUGACAUGAUGGUCCCACAUCCCCAAUUCACUGAGAGAGCUCCAUUUCUUGGGAGCUUAGAAACUGUAAAGAUGCAAGCAUGAUGCCUUCGACUAGGGGCCUACGUACGGCCGGGUUCGUCUUCAGUUGGUCAGUGGGCUCGACUCGUUUACCUUGCUCGCUGGCUGGCUGUGUAAAGGAUGUGGCGUACGAGGCCUUUACGGCAAGCGCAAAUGCAGACGACGCAGCAUGGAGAAGCAGAUCAGGCCAUCAGGGGUGUGUGAAUUGAUUCACGUAGCUAUGCAUGUAGAUAAAUCCCAGCCCCUGUUGUGAUAUCAAUCAUACAAUAUUUUACUGGUGGGCAUAAAUCCUUUGCUCCGGCUGGCCCGUUAUUGAACCGUCUAGUGCUUUGUAUAACGUGCAACUGUGGAAGUAGAUCAACGAGUAAUGUAGCUCAGUCCCCGAGCCUCAGUCCUCAAAGCCAGCAGCGUGAAUGUUCUUCCUUUUGGAACAGAAGAAAACGUGAAUGCUACUCCGGCAAUACCGUAUGAAUGUUUGUUUCUUGGAACAGAAAACGGGAAUGCUACCAGCAAAAGAAAAGAAAAAACGUAUGUGAAUGCUGAGAUCAACACGAAUACAUUGAACCGAACUCGACUUCAGUUCAUAAAGUCCACAUACAGGAGGGCAAUUUUCAUCAUGGGGACGAAUUUCAAGCUUUGCAUUGUUAGCAUGAACAAGAACAGUUCGCUUUCAUGCUUUGGUUCAUAUAUGUUUUGUCUCUUCAAUUAACCCGAGUUCUUUCUUCCUUUGGUUCUCUUCAUACCUUGUCUUUCCAUAUGUUUAUAUUGCCACGCAGACAAAAGAGACGCGCACACACGAAAUGAACCGGAGUUUGGAACACUGCGCGAGCACACCCACAAAGAGUUGAGAACACCACGAGAAUCAUACAUAGUACUACAUACCAUUAGCAGCAGCUAGCUAGUCGGAUACACAGGUAGUUCAAAUGACCAAACACAACCACACAACCCUCACAAACCCUGACUGGCCACACACACACACACACUCUCCAACUUCUCGCAUCGGAUCACCUACUUCUCGUACACGCACCUGCGAACUAAGUAGUACUAGUACUGCGCAUAUACCUUGCGCCAUGAUACGGCAACACCCUAGGUACAAGGAAAUACACAGUCAAAGCUAGCGCGAUCCACCAUGCACCAACGAGGCGUCUGGUCACGUACAUGUAUGCAUAGCCCAGAGCGCCCAUGCUAGCUCGACCACUGCGACGUACUCA
rnacentral:lncRNA from 1 species